GGUGGCUCAGCAGUAGAGUGCUUGCCUUGCAUGCAUGAGGCCCUGGGUUCGAUUCCUCAGCACCA
rfam:Dipodomys ordii contig_68809, whole genome shotgun sequence.